rnacentral:rRNA from 1 species
UACGUAGGGUCCGAGCGUUGUCCGGAAUUACUGGGCGUAAAGAGCUCGUAGGUGGUUUGUCGCGUUGUUCGUGAAAACUCACAGCUCAACUGUGGGCGUGCGGGCGAUACGGGCAGACUAGAGUACUGCAGGGGAGACUGGAAUUCCUGGUGUAGCGGUGGAAUGCGCAGAUAUCAGGAGGAACACCGGUGGCGAAGGCGGGUCUCUGGGCAGUAACUGACGCUGAGGAGCGAAAGCGUGGGUAGCAAACAGG